rnacentral:rRNA from 1 species
CCUACGGGAGGCAGCAGUGAGGAAUAUUGGUCAAUGGGCUUACGCCUGAACCAGCCAAGUCGCGUGAGGGAAGACUGCCCUAUGGGUUGUAAACCUCUUUUGUCAGGGAGCAACGCCGGCUACGUGUAGCCGGACUGAGAGUACCUGAAGAAAAAGCCUCGGCUAACUCCGUGCCAGCCGCCGCGGUAAUACGUAGGUGGCAAGCGUUAUCCGGAUGUACUGGGUGUAAAGGGCGUGUAGGCGGGACGUCAAGUCAGAUGUGAAAACCAUGGGCUCAACCCAUGGCCUGCAUUUGACACUGUAGUUCUUGAGUGUUGGAGCGGCAGGCGGAAUGCCGUGUGUAGCGGUGAAAUGCGUAGAUAUACGGAGGAACACCAGUGGCGAAGGCGGCCUGCUGGACAAUAACUGACGCUGAGGCGCGAAAGCGUGGGGAGCAAACAGGAUUAGAUACCCCUGUAGUC